rnacentral:rRNA from 1 species
UUGCCUACGGGGCGCAGCAGUGAGGAAUAUUGGUCAAUAGGCGCGAGCCUGAACCAGCCAAGUCGCGUGAGGGAAGACGGUCCUAUGGAUUGUAAGCCUCUUUUGUCGGGGAGCAAAAGACGCCACGCGUGGCGUUCCGAGAGUACCCGAAGAAAAAGCAUCGGCUAACUCCGUGCCAGCAGCCGCGGUAAUACGGAGGAUGCGAGCGUUAUCCGGAUUUAUUGGGUUUAAAGGGUGCGCAGGCGGAAGAUCAAGUCAGCGGUAAAAUGUCGGGGCUCAACCCCGGCCGGCCGUUGAAACUGGUU